GCUAUUUCUGGGCUUUUUUGGGAUCUUCCAGGACCUUCUCUGCACCUUUCUGCACCUUCUGGAACCUUCUCUGGACCUUCCGGGACCUUCCCGAAUUUUCUGGGAUUUUUUGGGAUUUUUUUCCCGGAAUUUUGGGGCUUUUUAUGUACCUUCCAGGACCUGUCUCUGCUAUUUCUGGGCUUUUUUGGGACCUUCCAGGACCUUCUCUGCACCUUCUGGAACCUUCCAGGGCC
rnacentral:lncRNA from 1 species